rnacentral:misc_RNA from 1 species
CGUCAAGACAGCGGGUGA